rnacentral:rRNA from 1 species
UACGGGGGGAGCAAGCGUUGUUCGGAUUUACUGGGCGUAAAGGGCGCGUAGGCGGUCGUGACAAGUCACUUGUGAAAUCUCCGGGCUUAACUCGACACGGUCAAGUGAUACUGUCGGACUAGAGUACAGAAGGGGCAACUGGAAUUCUCGGUGUAGCGGUGAAAUGCGUAGAUAUCGAGAGGAACACCUGCGGCGAAGGCGGGUUGCUGGGCUGAUACUGACGCUGAGGCGCGAAAGCCAGGGGAGCGAACGGG